ACUACGGGUGGCAGCAGUGAGGAAUAUUGGUCAAUGGACGGAAGUCUGAACCAGCCAUGCCGCGUGCAGGAAGACGGCUCUAUGAGUUGUAAACUGCUUUUGUACAAGGGUAAACCUGAAUACGUGUAUUCAGCUGAAAGUACUGUACGAAUAAGGAUCGGCUAACUCCGUGCCAGCAGCCGCGGUAAGACGGAGGAUCCAAGCGUUAUCCGGAUGUAUUGGGUUUAAAGGGUGCGUAGGCGGAUUGAUAAGUCAGAGGUGAAAUGUCCGGGCUUAACCCGGGAACUGCCUCUAAUACUGUUGAUCUAGAGAGUAGAUGCGGUAGGCGGAAUGUAUGGUGUAGCGGUGAAAUGCUUAGAGAUCAUACAGAACACCGAUUGCGAAGGCAGCUUACCAAUCUAUACCUGACGUUGAGGCACGAAAGCGUGGGGAGCAAACAGGAUUAGAUACCCCUGUAGUC
rnacentral:rRNA from 1 species